GCAGCACAGAUUGACAACAGGACAGGAAAACACAACAGAGUUUUUGAUACCUAGAAAAGUCAAAUGGGACCUUUGGAUGUUUGGAAAGUCCAACCACUAAAUGCUUUCCUGUUUCAUGUACUAUGGAGGGGAGUUCUCAUCUUCAUUCCUGCUCCAGAGAUAUUGACCUGCAGGAUGAGGAGACUUGGUGUGAGAACCAUAUGGAAGGGAAGAAGUAUCCCAGGCCCAAGAUACAAGUUUAUGGAUUGCAAGACAGGAGGCCAAACACCAAAACAGCAUCUAACAAAAGUGCUUUUUCUGUAGGAAGAGGCAAUACAACAUUUUGCUUCAGAAGAAUCUUAUUGGCCCUUCCUGGAUACUGGGUUGUAGGAAGAACUGAUGAAUGCUCCCUGCUGUGAGAGGAUGACUCUUCCAUCAAAGAGAGUGACCGUGGUUUUUUUGUUCCUGAGGACUCCUUCCUUCCCUCACAUGCUGCUUAUCUGGAUGAAGAAUCAUGGCUGGAAUUUAUAAAUGCUUCUCUGUUGUGCAAAGGAGCUUUGAUAGCAUGAAAUGAAUAACAGGUAACGUAAUAAGAAAAAGUAUCUGGCUACAGCUUUGGAAAUGU
rnacentral:lncRNA from 1 species